GACGAGGCACUACGGUGCUGAAGCAACAAAUGCCCUGCUUCCAGGAAAAGCCUCUAAGCAUCAGGUAACAUCAAAUCGUACCCCAAACCGACACAGGUGGUCAGGUAGAGAAUACCAAGGCGCUUGAGAGAACUCGGGUGAAGGAACUAGGCAAAAUGGUGCCGUAACUUCGGGAGAAGGCACGCUGACACGUAGGUGAAGUGAUUUACUCAUGGAGCUGAAGUCAGUCGAAGAUACCAGCUGGCUGCAACUGUUUAUUAAAAACACAGCACUGUGCAAACACGAAAGUGGACGUAUACGGUGUGACGCCUGCCCGGUGCCGGAAGGUUAAUUGAUGGGGUCAGCGCAAGCGAAGCUCCUGAUCGAAGCCCCGGUAAACGGCGGCCGUAACUAUAACGGUCCUAAGGUAGCGAAAUUCCUUGUCGGGUAAGUUCCGACCUGCACGAAUGGCGUAAUGAUGGCCAGGCUGUCUCCACCCGAGACUCAGUGAAAUUGAACUCGCUGUGAAGAUGCAGUGUACCCGCGGCAAGACGGAAAGACCCCGUGAACCUUUACUAUAGCUUGACACUGAACAUUGAGCCUUGAUGUGUAGGAUAGGUGGGAGGCUUUGAAGUGUGGACGCCAGUCUGCAUGGAGCCGACCUUGAAAUACCACCCUUUAAUGUUUGAUGUUCUAACGUGGACCCGURAUCCGGGUUGCGGACAGUGUCUGGUGGGUAGUUUGACUGGGGCGGUCUCCUCCUAAAGAGUAACGGAGGAGCACGAAGGUUGGCUAAUCCUGGUCGGACAUCAGGAGGUUAGUGCAAUGGCAUAAGCCAGCUUGACUGCGAGCGUGACGGCGCGAGCAGGUGCGAAAGCAGGUCAUAGUGAUCCGGUGGUUCUGAAUGGAAGGGCCAUCGCUCAACGGAUAAAAGGUACUCCGGGGAUAACAGGCUGAUACCGCCCAAGAGUUCAUAUCGACGGCGGUGUUUGGCACCUCGAUGUCGGCUCAUCACAUCCUGGGGCUGAAGUAGGUCCCAAGGGUAUGGCUGUUCGCCAUUUAAAGUGGUACGCGAGCUGGGUUUAGAACGUCGUGAGACAGUUCGGUCCCUAUCUGCCGUGGGCGCUGGAGAACUGAGGGGGGCUGCUCCUAGUACGAGAGGACCGGAGUGGACGCAUCACUGGUGUUCGGGUUGUCAUGCCAAUGGCACUGCCCGGUAGCUAAAUGCGGAAGAGAUAAGUGCUGAAAGCAUCUAAGCACGAAACUUGCCCCGAGAUGAGUUCUCCCUGAGACUUUARGUCUCCUGAAGGAACGUUGAAGACGACGACGUUGAUAGGCCGGGUGUGUAAGCGCAGCGAUGCGUUGAGCUAACCGGUACUAAUGAACCGUGAGGCUUAACCUU
rnacentral:rRNA from 1 species